UACUAAGGGAGGCAGCAGUAGGGAAUCUUCCGCAAUGGACGAAAGUCUGACGGAGCAACGCCGCGUGAACGAUGAAGGCCUUCGGGUCGUAAAGUUCUGUUGUUAGGGAAGAACAAGUACCAGAGUAACUGCUGGUACCUUGACGGUACCUAACCAGAAAGCCACGGCUAACUACGUGCCAGCAGCCGCGGUAAUACGUAGGUGGCAAGCGUUGUCCGGAAUUAUUGGGCGUAAAGCGCGCGCAGGUGGUUUCUUAAGUCUGAUGUGAAAGCCCACGGCUCAACCGUGGAGGGUCAUUGGAAACUGGGGAACUUGAGUGCAGAAGAGGAAAGUGGAAUUCCAAGUGUAGCGGUGAAAUGCGUAGAGAUUUGGAGGAACACCAGUGGCGAAGGCGACUUUCUGGUCUGUAACUGACACUGAGGCGCGAAAGCGUGGGGAGCGAACAGGAUUAGAUACCCCUGGAAUCCACCCCGAAAACAAUGAGUGCUAAAUGUUA
rnacentral:rRNA from 1 species